UACGUAGGGACCGAGCGUUGUCCGGAAUCAUUGGGCGUAAAGAGCGUGUAGGCGGCUAUUUAAGUCCUGCGUGAAAUCCUGCGGCUCAACCGCAGACGGUCGUGGGAAACUGGAUGGCUAGAGUGCGGGAGAGGAUGGUGGAAUUCCCGGUGUAGCGGUGAAAUGCGUAGAGAUCGGGAGGAACAUCAGUGGCGAAGGCGGCCAUCUGGGACAACACUGACGCUGAGGCACGAAAGCGUGGGGAGCAAACAGG
rnacentral:rRNA from 1 species